UGGGGAAUAUUGCACAAUGGGCGCAAGCCUGAUGCAGCCAUGCCGCGUGUGUGAAGAAGGCCUUCGGGUUGUAAAGCACUUUCAGCGGGGAGGAAGGCGUUAAGGUUAAUAACCUUGGCGAUUGACGUUACCCGCAGAAGAAGCACCGGCUAACUCCGUGCCAGCAGCCGCGGUAAUACGGAGGGUGCAAGCGUUAAUCGGAAUUACUGGGCGUAAAGCGCACGCAGGCGGUCUGUCAAGUCGGAUGUGAAAUCCCCGGGCUCAACCUGGGAGGGUCAUUGGAAACUGGGAGACUUGAGUGCAGAAGAGGAGAGUGGAAUUCCAUGUGUAGCGGUGAAAUGCGUAGAUAUAUGGAGGAACACCAGUGGCGAAGGCGGCUCUCUGGUCUGUAACUGACGCUGAGGCUCGAAAGCGUGGGGAGCAAACAGG
rnacentral:rRNA from 1 species